GGGCCCAUGGUCUAGUGGUAUGACACGGCAUUCGCAUUGCCGGAGCGGCAGUUCGAUUCUGCCUGGGUCCA
rnacentral:tRNA from 1 species